rnacentral:rRNA from 1 species
ACGGGGGGUGCAAGCGUUGUUCGGAAUUAUUGGGCGUAAAGAGCGUGUAGGCGGCUGGAUGUGUCAGAUGUGAAAGCCCUGGGCUUAACCCAGGAAGUGCAUUUGAAACUGUCCGGCUUGAGUAGGGGAGAGGGAAGUGGAAUUCCUGGUGUAGAGGUGAAAUUCGUAGAUAUCAGGAGGAACACCUGUGGCGAAGGCGACUUCCUGGCCCUAUACUGGCGCUGUGCCGCGAGAGCGUGGGUAGCAAACAG